ACAUCCAUAGCUCAAUAGGUAGAGCAUUUACCUUCUAAGUAAGUGGUUGUGGGUUCAAGUCCUACUGGAUGUA
rnacentral:tRNA from 1 species